rnacentral:rRNA from 1 species
UACGUAGGUGGCAAGCGUUGUCCGGAUUUACUGGGCGUAAAGAGCGCGCAGGCGGUCGUUCAAGUCGCGUGUGAAAGCCCCCGGCUCAACUGGGGAGGGUCACGCGAUACUGAUCGACUGGAAGGCAGGAGAGGGUAGUGGAAUUCCCGGGUGUAGUGGUGAAAUGCGUAGAUAUCGGGAGGAACACCAGUGGCGAAGGCGACUACCUGGCCUGUUCUUGACGCUGAGGCGCGAAAGCUAGGGGAGCAACGGGG